UCGGGCGAGUCGCCUUGAAAUCGGAGUGCUUGNNNUCUGUGNAACAAGAUACAGGCUAGCGGCGGACGGGUGAGUAACACGUGGGUAACCUGCCCAAGAGAUCGGGAUAACACCUGGAAACAGAUGCUAAUACCGGAUAACAACAGAUGAUGCCUAUCAACUGUUUAAAAGAAGGUUCUGCUAUCACUCUUGGAUGGACCUGCGGUGCAUUAGCUAGUUGGUAGGGUAACGGCCUACUAAGGCGAUGAUGCAUAGCCGAGUUGAGAGACUGAUCGGCCACAUUGGGACUGAGACACGGCCCAAACUCCUACGGGAGGCAGCAGUAGGGAAUCUUCCACAAUGGACGCAAGUCUGAUGGAGCAACGCCGCGUGAGUGAAGAAGGGUUUCGGCUCGUAAAGCUCUGUUGUUGGUGAAGAAGGACAGGGGUAGUAACUGACCUUUGUUUGACGGUAAUCAAUUAGAAAGUCACGGCUAACUACGUGCCAGCAGCCGCGGUAAUACGUAGGUGGCAAGCGUUGUCCGGAUUUAUUGGGCGUAAAGCGAGUGCAGGCGGCUCGAUAAGUCUGAUGUGAAAGCCUUCGGCUCAACCGGAGAAUUGCAUCAGAAACUGUCGAGCUUGAGUACAGAAGAGGAGAGUGGAACUCCAUGUGUAGCGGUGAAAUGCGUAG
rnacentral:rRNA from 1 species